rnacentral:lncRNA from 1 species
CAGGCUCCUUUUCCUGUUUUGGGCCACCGCGAGGCCCACAAGUCCGCUCACAGUCGCAAGCAAGAGGGCCGUUUUUUUGGGCCGAAUUAUUCGCGAAUCCCGUUUUAUUCGCGAAUAAUUAUUUUUGCUCAAAAAACCGCGAAUUAUUCCGAAUUUUUGACAAAAAUUCGAAAACGGGUGUUUAAUUCGGCAUUUCAAAAAUUCGCGAAUAAUUCGCGAAUAAUUCGCGAAUUAACUAACUAUGCCCCCAAUUUCCCCCCCCAGGUGACAUAGACGAGGAGUUGGAUUUUGAGCUCGACGAGAGGACGAUCUAGCUAGUCUGGUAUAGCGAUCGCCACCCUGGUUGUAUUUCUUCCCCCGCCUUUAGUAGUGAUUUAAAUAAUGGUUCAGUUAGCUGAUCUUUAUAAUUGUUUGAAUAUUGGUGAUCUGGUUUGGUAGAUCUGUGGAUGUUUUCGUUAUUUAUGCAUGUGAACUGAGGUUUGUGGGUUUGGAUGUUGAUUUUAUGGAUAUCGAAUUUUCUUGUAUUUACAUAUCGUGGUUUUCUACCCCUCGAGGUAGCUGGUUUUCAAAACAGAGUUUCCAUGUGGGAAACAGUUUUAAAAAGAUUUUCGAAUGGUUUUCAUGAUGAAUGAAUUAGAGUUUAAAUAUAAAAACUUCCGUGUGGGGAGCACUUUUAAAUAGGAUGAUUGUUGUACUGUGCAUCUCAUCAUCCAGCGCCUAAGGAGUGCUUAGAGACAUGCAUCAUUUCUAAGGAUUGUUAGCUGUAUGAAAAUGCAUAUCAUGAAUUGAUUGUUGAUUGGUAAAUAUAGGUUGUGGUUGUGAUCCUGUUGUAUCCGUUGGUACGCCGUGCAAAUACAAAGGAGACUCUGCCCGAGUGGAGAGAGGAACUUUGUAUUUGUGGCGGGUCUGUACGUCACGUGGGCCAGGUUGGAUACAAAAAAAAAAAGGCACGUUUUCCGCAACUCUGAGUUUUCAAGAUGGUAAUGGCUUUUAAAAUCGGCCCCGGGGCGUGACAUUUCUAUUAUCUUAAUUUGAUAAGUUUUUUUAUACUGCACUAUAUUGAAUGCAGUAAAUUAUUGACAUAGAAUUUUCACUAAAUUAAUCGGUAGCUUCGUUACUAUAAAUUGAUAUUGAAUAAAUUGUUUGUUGCUAUUUUAGUUGUUUUGCUAUAAUGGAUAAAAGUUGGAUGAUCAAACC